rnacentral:lncRNA from 1 species
UGUGUUUGCAAUAAAAAAGCAGGAAGAUUUCUGAGGCAGAAUUGCAGCCUUGGUCCAGCAGACCACUCAUGGUCAGUGAACGCCAUGAAGCAUCUCACUCUUUCCAUUCUGGAAUCACACGUCUCGGAUAAUCCCUGCAGGCUCCAAACAGUCUGAGAUGUCGAGUUAACAUCAACUCCUGCAUCUCCAGGAGGUUUGCUGCUUACUUCCAGCUAAGUGAAGGGGAUUUGUCAGCACUCAGGUCUGCUAGGCUUUGAUAUAACAGCGU